rnacentral:rRNA from 1 species
GAUGAACGCUGGCGGCGUGCUUAACACAUGCAAGUCGAACGGUGAACACGGAGCUUGCUCUGUGGGAUCAGUGGCGAACGGGUGAGUAACACGUGAGCAACCUGCCCCUGACUCUGGGAUAAGCGCUGGAAACGGCGUCUAAUACUGGAUAUGUGACGUGACCGCAUGGUCUGCGUUUGGAAAGAUUUUUCGGUUGGGGAUGGGCUCGCGGCCUAUCAGCUUGUUGGUGAGGUAAUGGCUCACCAAGGCGUCGACGGGUAGCCGGCCUGAGAGGGUGACCGGCCACACUGGGACUGAGACACGGCCCAGACUCCUACGGGAGGCAGCAGUGGGGAAUAUUGCACAAUGGGCGCAAGCCUGAUGCGGCAACGCCGCGUGAGGGAUGACGGCCUUCGGGUUGUAAACCUCUUUUAGCAGGGAAGAAGCGAAAGUGACGGUACCUGCAGAAAAAGCGCCGGCUAACUACGUG